GGCUCGAACCUAUGACCUCCAGGUUACAAGUGAAGUAAACCACCUCUUUUGGGAACAGAUAAAGUUUAGGAAAAUUUAUUAUUACAUGUUCUUCUCUUUUGAUGUUCAUGAGCGAUGAUUUGUUAUAAAUCUUUUUGAACUUGAGACAACAUUGCCUGUUAGCUUAGUACUCAUUUCAGGUUAUCUUGAAACAUAUAAUAAAUCUUGGCUAUGUAUCAGGGUGCACUCUCUGAAAUCCU
rnacentral:misc_RNA from 1 species